GCCUGGGUGGCUCAGUCGGUUGAGCGUUUGACUUUGGCUCAGGUCAUGAUCUCACAGUUUGUGGGUUCAAGCCCCGCAUCUGGCU
rnacentral:tRNA from 1 species